rnacentral:rRNA from 1 species
GACGAACGCUGACGGUGUGCUUUAGACAUGCAAGUCGAACGAGAAAGCCCUUCGGGUGAGUAAAGUGGCGAACGGGUGAGUAACACGUGGGCAACCUGCCCCUCGCGGGGGGACAACCGGAGGAAACUCCGGCUAAUACCCCGUACGCUUACGGGAUCGCAUGAUCCUGUAAGGAAAGGUAGCUUCGGCCAUCCGGCGAGGGAUGGGCCCGCGGUACAUUAGCUAGUUGGUGGGGUAACGGCCCACCAAGGCGACGAUGAUAGCUGGUCUGAGAGGAUGAUCAGCCACACU